GACGAACCGUGCGAACGUUGUUCGGAAUCACUGGGCUUAAAGGGCGCGUAGGCGGCCCGCGAGGUCGGGGGUGAAAUCCCACGGCUCAACCGUGGAAGUGCCUCCGAUACCGGCGGGCUGGAGGAGGGUAGGGGUGCGCGGAACUUCUGGUGGAGCGGUGAAAUGCGUUGAUAUCAGAAGGAACGCCGGCAGCGAAAGCGGCGCACUGGACCCUUUCUGACGCUGAGGCGCGAAAGCCAGGGGAGCAAACGGG
rnacentral:rRNA from 1 species